rnacentral:rRNA from 1 species
GAGUUUGAUUCUGGCUCAGGACGAACGCUGGCGGCGUGCUUAACACAUGCAAGUCGAACGGAGCUGUUUAUUUCGGUAGAUAGCUUAGUGGCAAACGGGUGAGUAACGCGUAGGCAACCUGCCCUUAGGAUGGGGACAACGGCCCGAAAGGACCGCUAAUACCGAAUGCACUCUAACUUCCGCAUGGAAGAAAGAGGAAAGAUGGUGCAAGCCAUCGCCGAAGGAAGGGCCUGCGUCUGAUUAGCCAGUUGGUGAGGUAACGGCUCACCAAAGCGACGAUCAGUAGCCGGUCUGAGAGGAUGAACGGCCACAAUGGGACUGAGACACGGCCCAUACUCCUACGGGAGGCAGCAGUGGGGAAUCUUCCGCAAUGGGCGAAAGCCUGACGGAGCAACGCCGCGUGAGUGAAGAAGGUCUUCGGAUCGUAAAGCUCUGUUGUUGGGGACGAAAGGAAAAGGGAGGAAAUGCCCUUUUAAGACG